rnacentral:sRNA from 1 species
AUUGCUGACAAUAACUGGUACUGGUAGAGCGAUAACAAGCACACCGGACAGCGAACAUAUACCGCCGACAAUCUUUCCCAUUACCGUCGACGGCACCAUAUCACCGUAACCAAG